rnacentral:tRNA from 1 species
GAGGGUAUAGCUCAGUGGUAGAGUACGUGCUUAGCAAUCAAGGUCCUGGGUUCAAUCCCCAGUCCCUCCA